rnacentral:rRNA from 1 species
AGUAGUUGACUCCGUGGCUAGGACGAACGCUGGCGGCGUGCCUAACACAUGCAAGUCGAACGAACGAGGUAGCAAUACUGAGUUAGUGGCGGACGGGUGAGUAAUGCAUGAGCAACCUACCUCAUACAGGGGGAUAGCACUUAGAAAUGGGUGGUAAUACCGCAUAAUAACCAUACAUGGCAUCAUGUAAGGAGGAAAGGAGAGAUCCGGUAAGAGAUGGGCUCAUGUUCGAUUAGCUAGUUGGUGAGGUAGAAGCUUACCAAGGCGACGAUCGAUAGCCGAACUGAGAGGUUGAACGGCCACAUUGGAACUGAGAUACGGUCCAGACUCC